UCCGUCUCCUCACAGCAACACGGUGUCUGUCAUCGUAGACGGAAAUAAAAAGUUGGACGACAUGGAAACCUCAAGGAUUCCGUGGACACCAGCUCCAACUCCUGUCAGUCGUCUUUCUUCAACUCUGAGAACGACCAUAAACGGUAACAAACGUCUCUCCAGAUUGAACUUUUCUACAGAAGGAAAAUCGUUAGAAUCGAACUGUG